GGGCCCGGGCCGGGUGCCUAAUACAUGCAAGUCGAGCGGACAGAAGGGAGCUUGCUCCCGGAUGUUAGCGGCGGACGGGUGAGUAACACGUGGGUAACCUGCCUGUAAGACUGGGAUAACUCCGGGAAACCGGAGCUAAUACCGGAUAGUUCCUUGAACCGCAUGGUUCAAGGAUGAAAGACGGUUUCGGCUGUCACUUACAGAUGGACCCGCGGCGCAUUAGCUAGUUGGUGAGGUAACGGCUCACCAAGGCGACGAUGCGUAGCCGACCUGAGAGGGUGAUCGGCCACACUGGGACUGAGACACGGCCCAGACUCCUACGGGAGGCAGCAGUAGGGAAUCUUCCGCAAUGGACGAAAGUCUGACGGAGCAACGCCGCGUGAGUGAUGAAGGUUUUCGGAUCGUAAAGCUCUGUUGUUAGGGAAGAACAAGUGCAAGAGUAACUGCUUGCACCUUGACGGUACCUAACCAGAAAGCCACGGCUAACUACGUGCCAGCAGCCGCGGUAAUACGUAGGUGGCAAGCGUUGUCCGGAAUUAUUGGGCGUAAAGGGCUCGCAGGCGGUUUCUUAAGUCUGAUGUGAAAGCCCCCGGCUCAACCGGGGAGGGUCAUUGGAAACUGGGAAACUUGAGUGCAGAAGAGGAGAGUGGAAUUCCACGUGUAGCGGUGAAAUGCGCAGAGAUGUGGAGGAACACCAGUGGCGAAAGGCGACUCUCUGGCCUGUAACUGACGCUGAUGAGCGAAAGCGGUGGCGGCUGACCCGGAUUUAUAUACCCCUGUGUAGUCCCGCCGUACACGAUUGU
rnacentral:rRNA from 1 species